UGGGGAAUAUUGGGCAAUGGGCGGAAGCCUGACCCAGCGACGCCGCGUGGGGGAAGAAGUCUUUCGGGAUGUAAACCCUUGUUGUACGGGACGAAGGAAGUGACGGUACCGUACGAGGAAGCCCCGGCAAACUACGUGCCAGCAGCCGCGGUAAUACGUAGGGGGCGAGCGUUGUCCGGAAUCACUGGGCGUAAAGCGCACGUAGGCGGGCUGUCAAGUCGGCCGUGAAAGGCAUGGGCUCAACCUGUGCAUGUCGGUCGAUACUGGCGGUCUGGAGUAUGGGAGAGGGAACUGGAAUUCCCGGUGUAGCGGUGAAAUGCGUAGAUAUCGGAAGGAACGCCAAUAGCGAAGGCAGGCUUCUGGAAUGUUCCUGACGCUGAAACACGAAAGCUAGGGGAGCAAACAG
rnacentral:rRNA from 1 species